GGCAGUAACAGUAGUCAUCUCAGAGGCACCUCCCACGGCACAGGACAGGGCCUGGCACAGGACAAAUCUCCGGUGCAUUUAAGUCAGUUGCUCGCCAUCGUCAUUCCCCUCACGUGUGAGCACAGCUUUGCAGACCACGAGCCCCGCGGUAGACGGUCUUUAUCACAUCGUGGCCCCAGGCUUCUGCGUUCCAGCACCUGUGUGACUCUGCCCAGUCUGCAUCGCCACAGGGAUCGAUAUAUGAAGAAAUAGUUAACACGGUAACUGUCUGAUCCUUGUUAUGGAUUUUUUAGCCAUUUGAGGCUCUGGGGGCUUCCUCGCUUUGAGUCAGUACUUACUAAAUUUAGCUUUUCUAGUUUUGGGUAUUAUGCUUAUAAAGAAUUGAGGUGGGUGUUAAAAUUAUCAUUUGGGAAAAUUCUCCUAUUGCCUGUUUUUCUAGUUCAGAUUGCAGUCCUGUCCUGUGGUCCUGACAGCUCUUGAACAUGCACACAUGUGUGUUUGCUGCAUUAAAGUCACACAAAAUUCUUUCACUGAUGACAAUGGACAGCCUUAUUUUAUAGGUUGCUUGUACUUGAAAAGCCCACCCCUCCCCAUAUUUAUAAUUUAUUACUUUGAAUGAAAUGGGUUCAUCAUUGUGCUUUUUUGCCUGAAUCACAUCCCAACUGGACUACAUAGACCAUCAUGUGAAGAAGUAGAAAAUAACUUGUUUACACUAAAAACAAACCUGCCAAUAUAUUUUAGCUGAACAGUGUACUAUAAAUAGUAAGCUAUUUGCUAACAGUUUCCAUUUUAAACUUAGAAUUGCUGCUGAUGGAUACUAACUUGGCACUAUUCCUGGGAGCUUUGCUUCAGCCAUUUAGUUGUUAGAUAGCAGUUAAAAUAUAUAGGACCUUCACAUUCGGAGAAACUACUGUCGAUGGGGCAAAGGAUAAACUUGUCUGCAAUAUGAAUCCACAAGUAUUUUUAAAAUGAAUGAAAAUUUGCAUUGAUUCUUUGCCAUUAAUCAAGAUUAACAAAUAGUUUCUGGAAGGACUCAGUGAAGAUAAUGAAAAAAUCUAUAGAAGAAAGAUGAUAUGACAGAAAAACCCAAGUGGAGGAAAAUCUCAGGGAAUGAGAUGCAUUUUACCUCAUCCUGGGUGAAACGGGAGGCCGAGAUAAUGCCCUCGUGGAGAGCAGACACAAUGAAGUUGUCGUUGUUGAUUUAAAUUCCCUUGCACGGUGAAAAGUGUGUGGAAUUGGAAGAGAGGCGACCAGUCAUGAAGACACUGCUGACGAGAGGGCCGUCAGCUCGCACGGGGAUGGUGGCAGUGGCGAUGGAGAGACGCGGGUGGAUCAGGAGCAUGGACAGGAGUUGCGAGGUCCAGCGAUCGCCUAGGGCCUAUUCCCUCAGAACCUCCCCCGUUGGCCAUGCCCUGCGGAAGAGCUCAAGAAUCACACUCCUUCCUGGGCCUCAGAGAAGGAAGAUGGCUUUUAGGGAACAGGUGUCUGCCCACCCUAGGGCAGCAGGCAAAUCAUUCAACAGCUUUUGCUCCCAGCCCUGGGCGUCCUUAAGGUGGCUCCAAAUGGGUCCCAACCACCUUUUAGGCAUCAUCGAAUCAACGCCGGAGAAACAUUUUGACGAUUUUGUUGCUUGAUGUCCGUCUAAAUGGCGCACGUGCUCCUGACUCUGCAGAGGAGAUGCUGGACCCUGGGCCCGCCUGAUCCCAUGGGAACUGAGUGAGCCACAGGCCAGGUAAGAGUCCCAAGCCCAGUGAGAAUGUGCAAAGACAGUUCUUCACUGAGAGGUGGUCAAAGAUAUGAUUUAGAGAAGCACCAGACUGUAGAGAAGAACUGGAAGAGUUUCCCCGUGAGAGCACUGAUUUUGUUGUGAUACAUAAAACUAGGCCUCAGGAACUAUUUCAGCAUCUUUGGCUGGAAGCCCUGUUGUGAAUGGAAACUGUUCACUGAAGGGUUUGGGUGAUUUCCCUUCAUGGUGGGGCCGUGCCUGGCUCUGCAGGAGUGGCUUGCACAGAAGUAGACACGGACGGUAGCAUUCUCAUGAAAAUAAGCUCUCACAAAACGGGUGGAAAUACGCGUCUCAUUAAAAACCCAGUGGAAAUCAGGCUGUAGGCCAAACACGACUGAGGCAUUAUUGCUAAAAUAAAUUGAAUAACCUUUACUUUUCUUCUGUUUGCCUCAGGAAUCUGUGUUCCUGUAGCUACAAGGUAGAUUCUCUUGGCUUGGUAAUUUGGAAAGUCCUGACAGAAGCAGAGAGUUUGCCUCCCAGGGCUCAAAGUGUUUCUGAGGUAUAAGGACACGACACUAAAAGUAUUACGGCCAGAAUAAAAAUUUUGCAAAGCAGGUGAAAUCUACAAAAUGAUUUAAAUUAUUAUUGUACAGAAUAAAUUUGGGAUUUUCUGACCAUUAAUUCCAAAUUGUUAAUCAUGUAAACUUGUUUUUCAUUUAACCUGCUUACUUUCUUACAAAGUCAAGGAGGUUUAUUUUGGCUCAUGGCUUCCCAAGGUUCCAUCCAUGGUCAGCGGGCUCCAUUGCUGUGGCCUGAAGUGAGGUGAAGCAUCACAGAGGAGAUGUGGGGGCCAGAGCUGCUCACCUCUUGGCACCUGGAAAGCUGAGAUAGGGAAGAGCCUGGGAGGGAGGAACUGGGGGCCAGACAGAGUCCCCAAGGCUGCAGCUAUAUGAUCACUUCCUUCAUUGAGGACCGAGCUCCUGUCUCCAUCCCUUCUAACAGUGCCAUUGACUCAUGAUCUCGUUAGCCGAUUAACCCAGGGGUGAAGUUAGAGGCUUCCCAAAGCCAAACACUUCCCAAAGCCCAUUAGCAUCCAAGCCUUGAAUACAUAGGUUCUGAGGCCUCUUCAAACCCAAACUAUAACAGUCAGCUAAUGUGUAAAUCAUGGUCUGUCUUCUGCAGGUGUGUGGUGUAAUGAUGGGAGUACACAGCUGAGCUCUGUGAUUAGGCCAGUGCAAGGCUAUGGCUCUAGUUUGUAUGACUGAGGGACGACACUGAAGGGAUUUUGUCCCUAUACCCUACUGCAGCAAUGCCUAUGCGUUACCCGAUGAUGGAUGGACGAACAUACCUACCCAGGAAGUAGCUUUAGCAGGUGCCAGAACACAGCCCAUUAGACAUACUGCCCUCCUGCUGACUCUUACUGCAUCCACCUCAAUAGACAUACAUUUAGUUUAUUGUAUUUUUAUGUCUGUAAUCACCUUAUGAUUAAUGUUAUUUAUUUAAAAUGGCUAAAGCACUUUCUUUGAGAAGAUGUACAUUAAGUAGCAAUCCAUUAGCUAUGGUUAAUUUAUCUGAUUAUGUAUUAUCACCUGUGGUUCCAAAUCUCAGGUAGGGUCAGGAUGGGAAAAUGUCAACUUUGGCUUGGCAGAUAAGAAUAGGAAUGUUUGAAAUGUCAGAAGCCACGGUCUCCUAAGCAGGAUGUUGAUGUAGGCAGGGAGAGAACAGAAUGGCAGCACUUUUAAGGUGACAUUCUAAGAAAAUAUGGCUUGGUCAAAAAUAAUGAAAUAAGGCAGCAGCCUUCUAGUUUGGAGAAUUAAAGGCAUAAUCUUUGGAUUCUGAUGUAGCUUCUGAGUCUGGGAAAGUCAUUUAAUUUCUCUAUACUCUGGUUUCCUCACAUGCAUAAUAAUUAUAAAUAUUACAUCCCUACAUGGGUGAGGAGCACUCAAUGUUAUUAUUUUUAUUUAUGUAUUUAUUUUAUUUUUAUUUUUUGGUACCGGGGGUAGAACUUGGGACCUUACACUUUCCAGGCAGGAGGCGGCACCACUGAGCUAAAUCCCAGGCCCGAUGUUAUUAUUUUUAAAUAGUAUCUUUAUUUGGGGGAUGUUUGAGGUGUUUCUACCUUAUGGCAAAAUGCCAUUAAGUACUUAAUGGAAAAAUGUACACACAUUAUUGAAGAGGCCUUUUUGGCCAUUGAGAAUUGACUGAUGAAUUCUCCACCUUUGGAAGAAGGCAGAUAUGGUCCACUUAGGUGGCUCACGGGGAGAAGCGACAGCUGAUCCUUGGUGUGGAAGGUCGGACAUGUUUCCUUCACAUGCAUCAUCUGUGCUCUGUCUCCCAGAAACGUCUCAGAGUGCUGGGACGCCGCUGUCCCUCGCCAUGGUUGCCAGCUACCUUGGGUGGCUAAGGUCCACCACUCAAUUUUAUGGGGAGGAGAAAUCCAGUUCUGCUUAGGGUAGCCGGGAUGAAAAAAGGAUUCAAUUCAGAAGACUUGGUUAUAAAUCCUUGCUUUUAGAGACUUGAUAGAUUUAUUGUCUUGGAAAAAUCACCCCAGCUUUCUUAUCCAUAAAGCUGAAGUAAUUCUUAUCUGACAGCACUGUUAUGAGAAUAGAAUGUUAUAAAAUAUGGAAAUGUCCUGAAAGAAAAUCUAGAAAUUUAUCUUUUAAAAUAGUUUCCUAGGCACUGACUGCACCAAGGGAUUUGGUGGUCUACAAAAUAUCGUAAUUUUGCCAGCCCUUGAGAAAACUGGAAUGCGUUUUAUCCCUCUUCUCUGGACAGCACUCCUUCUGAGACGUCUGUCCACCACGCAGGCACAACUCCCUGUUCAUUUACUCAGGUGAGUUCAUCUUAACAAACUCAUUAAACGAUACAUGGACUUGAUUUGCCUAUGCAACUAAAAAGCCAGGGACAGGUGUGGAUUGAGUCAGUGGAUUUUUAAAAGCCACUUUGGAUUCAAUCUCAUCCCAUCUCCUGAUUCUGCAUCAUGUGAUGUUACCUUGUCUCUAGGAUCUUCUAAAGGGGUCCAGUAGACCCAGGAAUGUACCUGUUUUCACAUUUGGCCUGUGGAAGAGUCCCUGUCCUAGUGCUCUGACCUAAAUACUGAGGCUUUUAGGUUUUGUCACAUGCUCGUCUUUGACCCGAUCCUGAUGCCAAAGGACAGGAACGCACAACAUCAGCUGACCUUGGGCCAUGUGGUCUAUUUUGGACCUUUGGGGAAGUCAGCUUCUUUAGGAUCACAUGAGUCUACAAGUUUAAACCAGAAACUAUCUAGAAAUGUAAAGAGAGCCCACAGUGGUAUUUCAUCUGUAACAUGUCCACCACCCACUGGCUAAACAAAGCCAUCGGACUGGUCUGGGUGUGUCUGGGUGGAGUGGUCCUGGGGUCUGUCUGGUCCAUCGCCCCUUUCCCUCAGGGGCUGGUCCUCUGCUCUGCUUCCCAGCAGCCAGGAACUGAUCAGCUUUGUCUCCUCAUGCCCUUCUGCCAUGAUGUUCCUGCCUUGGAGCCAGCUGGCCAUGGACCAAAUCCCUUGGAACCAUGAGCCAAAUGUACCUCCCUUUCUUUAAUCUGUGGGUCUCAGGUAUUUUGUCCGGCAGCAGGAAACCUAACCCACACAGCUAGAGAUAGAAUUUCUGGAGCUGUGGUAGGUGUCCCAGUGGAGCUGUGGCAGGUGGAGCAGAUCUUACCGUAACUCAAGUGUGCAUCUUAUGUCCUCAUGAGUCCCAGAGUAGCAGGGCGGAGAGCGCUCCAGCCCAGAUGGCAAGGUUAGGCUUGGGUUCUGCAUCUGUGACUGAGCAGGUGGAAUUCAGGUGAAUUGAUUUUCCUCUGUAAGAUUUUCCUACCUCUAGAAUGGAGGUAGUAGAAAUAAUACUUACAAGUCAGUUUUGAGCAAUAAAUGACAUAAUUGAAAAAAUGUGUUUAGUUCCUGAGAUGCAUGGAAGUAGGGAGUUAAUGAAUUUUAACUUGGCCGGAAUGUUUUUCAUGUAUUUGAAUAGAAAUCCCGGAAUAGGGACUAGGCCUAGAGAAUUUAGUAGACUGUUUGUAAGAACAGUAUAGCGCUCAGAGGGUCACCCCUCCUUCCCUCUUGUGUCUUCAGUUUGUCUCUCAGGGACAGAAGCAUGUGCCUUUGGGGAGAGGCCUCAGGCUGUUUAUCAUUCUGGAGAGCUACUGAAAUCCAUCCUAUUUAGAGCAAGCACAUAAUUGAUUGUUCAAAUUAGGAAGCUUGUUGGAUUGAGGGAAGGUACUCAAAAAACAAUGAAUAGCCAGAACUCUGGGAGGCUGAUGCAGGAGGAUCCCAAGUUUGAGCCCAGCCUGGGCAACGUAGCUACUUAGUGAAAUUGUCUCAAAAUCAAGAAACAAAGACAGAAAAAUGGCUGGGGAUGUAGCUCAGUGCAAAGGCCCUGGGUUCAAUCCCCAGUGCCAUAAAAACCGAAAUAAACAAACAAAAAACCCCAUUAACAUGGAAUAGUUGAGCUGGAAGAGGUACACACAAGAACUUUCCCAGUUAAACUGCCUCAUGUAUGAAAGUCUUCACCUAAAAUAGAAAGAUCUAGAGUAAAAUUAGGCACCUAAUAAAGGCAAAGAAUUCUAAAAAGAAAUGUUUUCUCUUCUCUUUCCUUCUGAACCAUCAGUAAAAACUAUCCCAACAUUCAACCAUUUUGUUAUUUUAUUCUAUUUAAAAUACUGUCAUAAAGAUUCAUAUAUCCACACAAAUAUUAUAGAAGAUGUAUUUUUUACUCCUAAUUUGAGUUCAUUUGUUAUAAGAAAUAGGAUCAACCAAAACACAUUUCUAUGGUUAUAUUUAAAUAUAUCUACACUUUAAAAAUAAUAAAGCUGGUUAUGUUUCAUCUUACCCAUAAGCCACCAUAUGUCAGUCUGAAGCUGAAGUUAGUAAUGGUUCAUAAAACCAGAGUUCUGAAAUUUUGAACCUUUGGAAUUAUCUGCUUUCUUGUUUCUUUAUUUCUCUCUGGGCUAAAUAGAAUUUGUACAUCUGACAUCCAAGGUCUUUAUAAACACUAUUAAAGUAAUAAAUGUCAUUAACUUUAGCAUCCCUUAAUUAUUGAUCCUACAGAAGUAAGAGGAUAAUAUAAUGAUCAUUUCCAUGCCAUACCAUACUUUUAUUCCUUUUCGUGUGUUAUGUGGCUAACUCCAUAUACCAUGUGUUAGCAAAAUUUACUAGUAAAUUAAUAAAGAAUUUGUGCUGUUCCAAAAAUGAUUUGAGAACUAAUAAGAAAUACUUACUUUUUAAAAUAAGAAGGAUUUAAAAUAAUUUAAAAGAAGCAAAGGGAAAUAAGAUUAGGUAGAUAAGAUGCCCUCUAGAAUGAUGUUCCAGACUGGGUACAUAAGUUUGUUCUUAUGUCUUAGCAGUCAAAACAGGGGAAAACAGAAUAAGGUUCAUCUGUCAAAAGGUCCAUAGGCUGAAAACAAAGCCCUUGCUCAUGAGAAUCACAAUCCUUUAAUGUUAAAAGAAGAGUUUUCUUCCUUAGAAAUGUGCACACUUUAAGUUUCUUUAUAUUUCUACAAGGUAAAGUUAUCGUAUCAUACUGCCUAGAAAGUUAUUUUGUCUUCCUAUGUUGGUGAUUCUAAUGCUUAAAAUCUAACAAUUUCCCUUAGCUUUGAAAGGUAUUCAUUCCAGUAGCUUGCUUGUGUACUAAAUCAUGUAAUAAUUGGAUAUUUAAUUAUAUUCUACCAAAGGCUUACACAAACAUAUGUGCAGGUUGCAGUAUGAAAUAUGUAUUUAUUCACUUUCCUCAGAUUGUUUAACAUAGAACUACACAUGAAAAGAAAGUUAUUUCCUAGCUGUAAGAAAAAUAGAAAAUCGCAGAUAUUAUGUAAAGUAUUGUGAACACAAUUGCACAUAUAUUUUAUUUAUAUCUCUUAAUUUUACACCUUAAUGGAACUCAGAGUGCCGUUUCAACACCUGGACACUGAUCAAGUCAGGGUAAUUAGCAUUUCAAUCUCCUUAUCAUUUCUUUAUGUUUGGACUCUAUGGACCUUCAUGAAAUAUACACUGGGCUGCUCUUGGGAACUCUAGUCAUGUCUCUCUGCUGCAGAAAACCAACACUUAUUCCUUCUUUCUGUGUUUGGUACCUGUGCCUCAACCUCCCUUAAUUACCCUUCCCCUCAAAUCACACAUUGUCUUAUUGAAACUUUACUUUUAAUCUUUUUUCUUUUAAAAAAGGAAUCAAAGAGCAAAGAAAAGAGUAAUAUCAUUGCUUGUGAUGAAUCCAGGUUGCAGAAUGCUGUCAGUUCUGGACACGUGUGCAUAUGAGCUCUCGUAUCCUGGAGUAACUCCCACAGCAGCACUGCCAUGGUGCUCCUCCUACACUGAGCAUUACUUGUAAAGUGCAAGCGCUUGGGAAGAACUGUGACAUGUGAUGAAUCUGGUCAGCGUCAGCGCACUCCUACCGCUGCCUGGCCGCCCUUGUUCAGACACAGGCAGAGAGUAGACAACAGGCAGACAUGCUAAUGCGCAUUCUGCGGUGACCAUCAAGAAGGCAGAGAUAAGGCUCACCACAGGGGACAGUGAAGAAAACUUCGAGUAAUGAUGACAGUAUAUGAGGUGGGAUCAAACUAGCAGAUGUUUACAUUGUUUUAAAAAAUUAGUGCAAUAAAAGAUACAUUGCCAUUAACCCUCCUCAAAAUAUCCUCGCCUCCACUUCAAACACUCUUGGCCCUCUGCUCUUGCCACUUUCUGAGGCAGUUCUGGAAGUCCUCUUCCAUCCGUGUCAGUAGUUGUACUACUGUGACUGCCUCGAUGUCCUGAAUCAGUUCAAAACAUGUACUAUUCAUGGUCAUUUUGACCUUUGGAGAAAAGCCAGAAGUCACACAGUGCCUGAUCCAGUGAGUAAGGGGCCGAGGACACAGCACUGUGUUUACAGACCCGUGUUUCUGUCGGAUGCACUUGGCAGCAACAUUCACCACUUUUUGAUCAAACUUCCUCAAGACCCUCAUGAAGAGGACUUCCAGAACUGCUUCAGAAAGGUGCAAGAAUGGUGGGAAAGUGCAUUUAAAACUGGGGAAAUAUUUUGAGGGGGAUUAGCUUCAAUAUGUCUUUUACUGAAAUUAUUUUAAAAAUAAUUUUAAACAUAGAUCAUAUCUUUGGUCAUAACUUGUGAUGAAAUGAUGAGAAAAUAAAUGUCAUAGAGCUAAACGAUAGGAGCCUGGAUGUAGCAAGGCUGUCUAAGGCCAAUUGCUCAAGUCAUUUACCACAAAGAAUUCAAAAGGAGGAGAAACACUGACCCUCAUAGUAGAAUUUUGCUAUAGACCUGAGCAAAACCAUCACCAUUGGCAAUAUUUCAACACACUCAAUGUUGCAAGAAUGAGGUGAGACAUUGACAAAGAAAUCCAGAAACACAGUGGCUCAAACAAAACAGAUGCUUAACAGAGCCGGAGGAGCUGCUGAGCUCCCCAGGAGCCCAGGUGCUUUCCACAUUGUUGCUCUGCUGUUCCCAAGGUUAGCCUUGAGGGUUGGGUGGGAUCUAGCUCAGGACCCUUGUUUUCUAGGCUGUAGGAUGUAAGGAAGUAAACAAUAAGUGAUUUUCUCCUUUCAAGAGCAGAAGUGGGGUUGCACACAUUACUCCUCCUCAAUCAUCAUGAGGAGGAAACCAAGCACAUGGGCACAGAGGGCUGCGAGAAAGGCCUCAGGCUGUCAUCUCUGGUUGAGUGGCUGCAUCUUGAGGGGAAAAUAAUUCCUCAAAGGGAAGAGAAAAGAAACUAGGAGAUAAAAGUCCCCGCCCCUGCAUGGCAACAGUUUUGUGUAAUGAAAUUCCAGGUUAGAAUGCAGGAUAUGGUUCCAGGAUAGUGGAAUAGAGUAAGAGAGAGGUUUCUGGCAAAGAAAGGACAUUUAUAAGGAGAAGCCAGGAUGUCUUGCUCUGCAUGUGACUAUCCUCCAUGGUGCUGAUGUCCUACUGGUUUAUUAGGUCACUGUGAGUCAGUUUCAGGAUGCAAGUUCUACUUCCCUUGAAUUUUCUGGCAGGUUAGGGAGUAGUUGGCCAAGUCCCUGCAGAAUCUGACAGAGCUAAAGGAAAUCAAUUUGGUUUUACUUUCUUCAGACUUCUGUGAUAGGACAACUAUGCAAAUAUGUAUCUAAUUGUUUCUUACACUUUUGACUCUGCUUGAACGCCCACAGAUUAAACUCUAAUUCUUUUGGAGCAAACGACAGGUAAUAAAUCUAAUCUAUCUAGAGAAAUCUGUUUCAUCAAUAUUUGCCAAUAGAUAUACCACCAGUGUUUCUGGCUUGGGAACUAUAUAGAAACUAUGCCCCAAAUUAGCACUGACAUAAGGUACUCUCAGAACAAGUUGCACCAAGCUUUUUACCUUACUUCUAUUGCUAAUAAUAUGGAUUUAGUCUAGAAGAAAAGUGAGCGAAUUAAAUAAAUUUUCAAAAGUCCUGCCUGAAAGUUAAGAGUAACGAUUCCUGUGUGGUUGUUUUUUGGAUCAGAUUUGCGGUGAUAACGGCUGAGAACUUUCCAUCCUCAUACAAGCUGGGUCUCAAAUUCCUAAGGAAACUCCUGCAGAGCCGCGCUGUUUGCUUUUGAAAGAUCAUAUCCUGACUUGCCUAUGGAGCCUUUGGUCGGAGGUGGGAUAAUUUUUGCAGCUGGGGGGAACCUAUACCUUGCUGGGGAAAAUCAGCAUGAAACAAUUAAUCACUCAUCCAAAAAUAAGAAUCCUAACCGAAGGGUGUUCACCGAUGAAAGAGCAAAGAAAACAUGUGCAGAGACAGUCUUCCUUCUGAUAGGCAGUGAUUUUUAAAGCAAAUUCUUCAUGUUUGGGAGUUGCUUCUUUCUUUGCUUUUUAUUAAACAGAGUUUUGUUUUCCUGAGUAAAAAAGAAUCUUAUUUUCAAAGGGCUGUUAUCCUGCUGCUUGCUCCCCAUAUGAAAUUAUCUUGCAGAGUAACAGGGCCUGGUGUUCUGGAAAUUGCAUAUGGGAUUUCUUAGUUUAAGAUCAAAGUCCUGUGACUGGAAGUUCACAAGAGUCACUCUUUUUCUUUCUAUUCAUACUUACAUUUUUAUUUUUCAAAACCAAUGCAUCAGAAAUUAUAUAUUUUAUGGAAAAUGAUAUGAUGUUGUGAAAUAUGUACACAUUACGGCAUGGCUGAACCAAGCUACUUAACACAUGCAUCCUCACAUGCUUACUAUGAUUUUGUGGUGAGAACACAUAAAAUCUAUUAUCUCAGUAUGUUUCCCAUCAGUCACUGCCUUGAAAUUGAACAGUUUUCAUAUAUCUUCUAAAUUUAACAUUUCAAAUUUGGCUUUCAUAAAAUAUUUUAGUUAUUAUGUUAGUACUUAACUGAGGAAUAGCUCAAACUUGGUACAUUCAUUUGUACAUUCUGAAUUAGUGGAAAGAGUUUGGGGUUAUAAAUGGGGAUGUAGAGCCACACCUCCUCCCAAUCAGAGGCAAACUCUGCUGCCAUGACAAAGGAGAAGCCAGCAGCUUCAGGGUGCGUGGUCAGUCUGUAAUGACAUUAGUACUGUCUUCGCAGGGGCCAGCUCACUGGAGUUCUAGCUCUAUUGUUCGCACUGAACUUUUACCUUUCCACAGAGUUAAAUGCAUUGCCAGUGUCCCAGUGUAUUCAGAAUUAAGCUGCCCUUACCUAUUCAGAGUUAGUAAAAAGAGACUUAUAUUUUGUCCUAGUAUUUUAUUUUCUACAUGAUUUCUCUCUCUUGGAAUUUAUUUUGGUAUAUGGUGUGAAGAGAUGAUCUAAAAUGAUGUUUCUCUGAAAUAGUUGCCUCAGUUGUCUCUUCUUUCACAUUUGAUUUUAUUUCUUUGUAAUAUAUAACAUUAUUAAAAUUAAUAUAAUUUCAAACAAAUAUUUCUGACAUUUCUUGUAUAUAUCCUACUUUAUCGAUGUGUCUGUUUUUGCAUCAACAGUAUGUCUUAAUUAAAGUGCCUUAUGGUAUGUUUUAAUAUAAAGUUGGGCUACUUCCAAAUGAAUGCUCUUUAGUGAGAGAAUUUAUGUAAAACUCCUAUAUCUAUCUACGUGUCCCCAUGUGGAUGCACACAGCAAUUGGGAGAUUUUCUAUGGCACCAUCCUAUCCUGUCUUGGACCUUAGCCUUCAUCCAGAGGAGCACUGUGUGUGCUGUCUCCCACCAAGCCAGGGGUCUGAGCAACUUUAGCAUCUACACUAUUCCAUUAGUGUUACCUCCACACCUACCAGUUAGCACCCAAUCUAGCACUGCCUAUACCUGCUCACUGCAUGCUGCAUUGCUAGUUUUAGAGUCAUGAUUUUUUUUUUUUUUUUGGUACCAGGGAUCGAACUCAGGUCCUUGUACUUGCGGUGCAGGCAGCAGAAACACUGAGCUAAAUCCCCAGCCCUUAGGGUCAUAAUAUUAAAAAAGUUAAUAAUGUCUGAAUUUUUACUUAGGGACCAAAAGUUGAUUGUGUUUUAACCUAUACUCAACUUUCUUUCAGAUAUAAAAUAUUCUUCUCUAAGAAGGAGAAAGGUAUAGUAUUUACUUGAAUUAGUAUCAUGCCUAUGUGGUCCAACUGAGAGGUGAAGAAAACAGGCUGAGGAGGGACUUUCUGAAAUUUAGAUCAGAUAAAAUACUUUAUUUGUACAAAAAGCAAUUAGUAAUAAUUGGACUUUUUAAACUCACAAACAAGACUAAAGACAGCAAAACAUAUGAGAUAAUAAAAAUAUCCAUUAUCCACUCCACAUUAUUUGUAAUAACUUCAAAUGAUAAAAGAUUACAUUAAAAAUCCAAUUUAGGGGCCAGGGAUUUAGCUCAGUGGUUCCACCGCCUGCCUUGCAAGCACAAGGACCCAAGUUCGAUCCCCAGUACUCCCUGCCAAAAUAAAUCCAAUUUAAAAAAUUUUUAUUGCAUAUAAAUUGACAAAUUACAUUUGUGUAUAUGUACUGGGUACAAAGUGAUCCUAAGAUUUAUGGAUAUGAGGAGUCAUUAAAUUAAACUAAUUAAUAUAUCUAUCACCUCAAAUGCCAUAUUUUGGUGGUAACAUUUGAAAUUACUGUUACUGAUUUUGGUAUGACAAAUAAAUUUUAAUUGAUUUAGACACAAUGGCCAUGUGUAUGUUCCCUUUUUAGGUUGGAGUUAUUGGAAAAAAUAAGGCAUACAAUAAAGUUUUGUGAUUUUUUAAUAAAGUUUGGUACUUGGUUUAAGAAAAUGUUUCUCAGUCGUGAAGGUAUAGGAUCAAACCAAAUGUCCAUUAACAGAUGAAUGGAUAAAGAAAAUGUGACUAUAUAUGUGAUAAAAUAUCUCAACCAUACAAAAUAAAAUUUUGCAGCAACAUGGAUGGAAUUGGAGAACAUUAUGUAGGUAAAUAAAUCAAACACAAAAUGACAAAUACUGCAUAUUUUCACUGCAUAUGGAGGCCAGAAGGUUGACCUCAGAGAUACAGAGUUGCAGAGUGGUACCUGGAAUGCAGGCCUGGGAAGGGAGUGGGUAGCUGAAGGAUGGUUCAGGGGUAUAGGGCCGGCUGGAGAGGAGCGAUAACCCAACAUUCUCUAUUGUACAGCAGGACAGCUAUAGUUGACAAUAACUAGUUGUAUACUGUAUUUCAAAAUAGCUAGUAGAAAGGAUUUCGAGCUUUCCCAACACAGAGAAGUGGUGAGUGUUUCACAGGAUGGAGUUGUCAGCUAUCCUGAUCUGAUCAUAAUACCUCACACACGAGCAUUUAAAGAAAUAUGUACAAUUAUUAUGUGUUAAUUAAGAACAAAUAAAAUGAAAUGCUGCAAAGAAGUGUUUUUUGUCUAUGGCAUGCUAGAACAGAAGUAUUAUUUUAGUUCAUGAUAACAAUGAUUUUCCAGAGGAAGAAAUAUGAGAAAAAGUAUAGGGAAGGUCUAUUUGCCUAAGUAUGACACGAUUAAUAUGAUUUCAAAAGACAUUAGGGAUUUUUAUCUAUCUUGUCUUGUUCCAAACAAGGGGAUACAGAGGAAAAAGGAUGAAAAUCCCUCAUAACAAGUCCCACAUAUCGAUCUUGGUUUAACCUUUAAAAGGAAGCAUUCCUAUUUUCAUUAUGAAACUAUAAUAUCUUCCAACUAAGGGAUUCAGAGCAAACGUUCAUUCCCGAGCAUGGCUUUCUGAUUUCCCACGGCCUGUGGCAGGGUGAAGAUGCUCAGGCUGCAGGCUGAGCAUCCAGGAGGGCACAGAGAGGGGUUUCUCAGGCUCACGACGGAUUACCAGAGACCAUGGAUUACCAGAGACCACAUCUUUCCACACAUCCCCAUCACUGAAGAGAUCACUCGGGCUGCGAAUCACUGUAGAAAUGGAGGACGAGGAACAAGCAAGGGGAUGUGGUGCAGAGAUGACUCUGGAGAGCUGAUAACUAAAAAGGCACAAGGCAGAAAGACAGCUUGUGAGAACCCACUGACGCUUCACAGCCGGUCUUAUCUUCUGAGAGCUGGAGAACUCUUGGGUCCUUUCCCAAAGUUCCCUGUUAACUUUCACUGACACUGAGGUUUUCAUGCCACGGACUUAACAUCUUCAAGAUCAAAUAGAAAAUAGUAUUUCAAUCAUAAGGGUGAACUUCAGCAUAACUUGGCAGCUUUCAAGUCUCAGAAGUUAAAUGGGUCUAGGAUUUAUAAACGCCUCAUUACAGAGGAUCAGGGAUUGAAAUCUCUAACUGGUCCUCAGGGCUUCAGGGUGUUACCAUCUAAAGGGCAGUGGCUUUUGUUAAAGCAUGAUUAGCUGCUCCAUCAUUAAAAGUCAUUUUGAUUGUGAAAUGUUCUUGUAUAGAUUUAGAAGAGACAAAACAGGUUAAAAAAACUAUAGCACACUUAGUAUUGACCAAUUAGCAUUAAGUAUUUUUUCAGUUGAAGAGAGUUGAUUCUUAGACAAUAUCAAAAGGAUUUUACUUCACUGCCAUCUUAAUUAAUGACUGCAUUCAAGGAUGUUUUAAAAAUUUGAAUUAUUUAAAAUAUCUUCUUGGCAAUAUUUAAUUUCCUAUCCCAAGAGCCUCUGAGAAAUAUUUUAAAUUUGUGUAACAGUCUGCAAUGACCUUUUAUUUCUUUAAAGGUCCUGGAUUUCAGCUUCCUGCUAAGCGUGUAUCCCUGAGGCACUGACCCUGGCUGGCUCACCUCCUGUUCAGCAUCUGGGCCAAGGCCCUGGGAUUCUGCCACCAUGAGGGACAUCGGAGGCAGUGGCACAUGCUGGCAUUUGGGGACACCAGCCAGAGCAGCUGCUGCUCCGCAUCUCCUGUCAAGGGUAGGCCACAGCAGCCUGGAAAGCCUCAGUCCUCCCUUUUCACACCAUCCCACUGCUUUCUGCAAUUUCUCUGCGGUGACACACACGGUAGCUCAUUUACGUGUGCUGGAAAAGGAUGUAGCAGAUGGCUGAGGCAGCAUCUCUUUGUUGAAUUAUAGUCAAUCUUGAAUAGCAGCUACUAUUACUAUCUUGGAUAUCUAAAGGCCUUUGUUGAAGUGUGGAGCUUAAAUGCUUCAAUAGUUUUUCUGCCGAUGAUUUGAUUCUUUGACUUUUAUAUUCUGAAUUAAAUUUCAGAUAUUUUGUUGAGCCAGUGGCUUGACAAUUAUUUUUCUAAAAGAAAAAGUUAUUUUUCUACAGUUUGGCUUUAGAAAUAUCACACGUGCUUUUACUUUAGGACUUGAUUUAGGGUAUUUGAAAAGUAUAACUUUACAAUAACUAUUACUUAAUAUUACAGAAUUAUGGUUAAGCUUUAUUCUGGAUAUAAGAUUAAAAGGUAAAGAUGAGUGGAUGCACAUUUUGUUCAGGUUUGACAUUUCUCUCUCUCACAGGAAGAGUGAUAAUGUAUAGAGUAGGAGGGUUACAGGGAACUGUACAGAAUGACAAUUCAGGAAGAAGUUGUGUUUCCAAUUAAUGACUGUUAGAUUAAAAGGCCUACUGAGAAAACUUGGGCUGCAUGAUACGACACCAAUGUGCCAAGCCAGUGGAACAGCGUAACGAAAUCCAUAAAACCUGAAUGUUGAAGCAGGCAUUAUCACAGUUGGUAAAAUUGCCAUGGCUGAAAUGAUUAGAAGGAAUUAUGGGCAGUCCAGGGAAAUAAAAUUAAAAUGAAAGGACUAUAAACAUUGUGUGGUUCCAAGUAUAAGCCAAAACAGUAAUCAGGCAAAACUGUAGAACUAUUGAGGGCAAAAAUAAUUUUUUAAAAAUGUGUUUUCCUUAGUACAAUCCCUAGAAUGAUAGAUCUUUUUCCCCCAGAUGAGUGCAGAUUUCCCAAUGGAAACUGUUUACUUGACAAAAUGACACUGUUUAGCACAGGUAGCGUGGAUUUGUGGAGUGGUUGUUAACGUUAGACAGCAUUGGAGUUGUUAUAGUCGAAGUAAUGCGAGAGAUUUUUAUAAUUUGUAUUUCAACAGAACAAGGCUAAGAAAAGAAGUAGAAGAUCGAUGGACCUAAUUUUAAGUUUAGUCAACUUUGAAAAAAGUCUGUUGAAUAUUAAAAAACCCUAAAAACAUUAAAAAUAGAAAUUUCAUUUGAUCCAGCUAAUUCCUUCUAGAUAUCUUCCCAAAAGAGUUUAACGUCACCAUAUUAUAGGGAUACAUGCAUAUCCAUGUUCAUAGCAGAGCAUUUCUAAGAGAGAGAUCUUGGAAAUGGUGUAUACGUCCAUCAGCAGAUGGACGGAGAAAGAUGUGGUAUUUAUACCCAACAGGGUACUGUACUACUCUGCCAUAAAGAAAGAUAAACUUGAAGCAUUCGUAGGCAAAUGGAUGCAUCUUGAGAACAUAAUGUUAAGUGAAAUGAAUCAGACACACAAAAUUUAUGAUUUUGAAAGCAUGUUUGACUUAAAGCUGUGUUUGCAGCAUACAGACAUCCCUCGUUUAGCAACUGAGUUGCAUUGUGUGCAUUACAGUAUUCAAGAAAACGGUCAAAGAAAUAGCCAACAGGAUGACUUUGCUUUUAUUUGCAUAACUCUUACAUGCAGCACUGUAAUGUAUAACAGAUCAUAAAACUAUAGGACUGUGCUGUAGAAGAAGCCACCAUAAGGCUGCACUGCUCCUCACGUUCCUAUCCUGUAAGUGCAGGUCGUUAAGUCUGAGCAGUGCACCUAGGGUGAAGGUCUGAACAGUUGCUAACCAGGUAGGUCACUAAAUAAGGAACAGCUGUAUUUAUAUUUUCUAUUCUUGUUGAGUAUUUUCAUCCCAGAAAAUUUCAUAAAACCUGUUUUCCAGUAGGUAAGAAGUUUAUUUGGAGUUAUUUUUUCACUAUGUCUUGUCUCUUUUUUUGAAGCACAACUCUAAAGGUAAAGAAACUUCGUAUCACUAGGAAGCUUGGGGUGAAUGGACACUGCUUAGGUCUGAGAGACCUGUGUUCAAAUCUGGUAUCUACCCAUCUCAAUUUAUUCCUUGAUAUAGUUGAUUGGAUCUCUGAGGUCUUUUAUUUUUCUUGAAAGUUUUAACUUUCUGAUGAUCUAGAGUUGCUGACCUUUCAACAUAAACAUGAAGGUCUUCUUAAGGUAUAAGAGAAGUAUUUUUAGUUAUUUGAAAAUGAGUAAGAGAAAGCCUUUGAAUAUUUGGGCCUUUCUUGCAAAUUAGAGAGAUUUCCCAUUUUAUCUGCCCUUACUUCUGUUAUCCGUAAUUGGAUUUACUGGAUUUAACAGGAACAAAGAAAUAUUUAUGAACUGGUUCAUCUCUGUUUCUUUCUCUGGAAAAGACAAGAAGAUCAUUAAGCUACACAUGACUUGUCACUCAAGGAGGAGAUGUGCUUUCCUCUCCAGAAGUUCAGGGUUAACUUGCCUUUCUAUCAUUUGUAAUCUCCAGAUAUAUAUAGUCAGUAAGUCUGGGUAAACAGUGUGCAGGAUAUUCAGGGUUUGAUAUGGAAAUUGAGACAGUCCAAAAUGCUUAGAUCUAAUGAAUCAGAAACUUAAAUUCCAGUACCAGAGAUGGGUCUUUCUGUCCCCUUCAGUUGGAUAAAAGUUUUCUAAAUAUUAUCCUUAAGUCAGAUAGAAAGUAUAAUAAGUUUCUAGGACUUAGAAUCCUGCCAUUUUGGUUUGAAUUAAAUUAAGAAUGGGGUAAAGGAAAUUAAAAGUCUGAAUUUAAUUUCUAUAGGAAACAGUUCUUAUUUUCAGAGCAAAAUUGGACUCAAUGGGAAAAAAGUAAGCAUGUAUCUUUCUGUUGAUUUAUAAAUUACUGAAACUUGAAUGAAAGGCCAGUUGAUAGAAAACGACUAACUGAAGAUAAAAUUCCAACUUCAGCAAAUUUUGAAUCUCAUAUACGAAUUGAUCAAAUUUCUGAGUAGGAGGCUAUUCUGAGGGAAGCAAAACCAAGCAAAUUCUUACAAAAUAAUAGGUAAAUCAUGGCCAAGAGAGUGAGUGCUACUGGGAAUAAAAAACAAAACAAAAGCCCAUUAAAAUGUGAAACCUCAAAAAAGCAAACCACAUUAGAAAAGAAAAAUGUUCCCAAGCCACAAAUAGGGUGUUCAAGAGAAACAUCUCAGAAGCCCAGUGACGACUGCACAUUUUUCAGUUAAAUAUGAAGAUUAUCACCCGUGUGGUGGUUAGACUAUUCUUACAAGUAGUUUCUCAGUGCCUAAAACUGUCACUUUGAUGUAACAGCUAACAAAAUUAAUAUUUAAAGAAAGGUCUGGUUUUCAAUAGUAAGAAUAAAUAUUUGAUAUAAAGUAAUUUGGCACCUUCACUUUUUUAUUAAUUUUAUUGGUACAUUUUAGGUAUACAAUAUAGUGACAUUCAUCAUUGGAAAUCUGCACCUUCACAUAAUCUCUCUAGGUUCUUAUUUUUCCCC
ensembl:lncRNA